GAAUCCGUAGCUCAGCCGGUAGAGCACAACACUUUUAAUGUUGGGGUCCCGGGUUCGAGCCCCGGCGAGUUCA
rnacentral:tRNA from 1 species